rnacentral:rRNA from 1 species
UUAGUAGUCAUACGCUCGUCUCAAAGAUUAAGCCAUGCAUGUGUAAGUAUAAAUAGUUAACUUUGAAACUGCGAAUGGCUCAUUAUAUCAGUUAUAGUUUAUUUGAUGAAGAAUACUAAUUGGAUAACCGUAGUAAUUCUAGAGCUAAUACAUGUAUAAAGUCUUGUAGACUGCAUUUAUUAGAAUGAAAACCAUAGGUUUCGGCCUAUUCGUGAGUAAUAAUAACUAAUCAUAUCGUAUGCUUAUGUAACGAUGUGUCUUUCAAGUUUCUGCCCUAUCAGCUUUCGAUGGUAGCUGUAUUGGACUACCAUGGCAGUAACGGGUAACGAAU